GAUGAACGCUGGCGGCGUGCCUAAUACAUGCAAGUCGAGCGAACAGACGAGGAGCUUGCUCCUCUGACGUUAGCGGCGGACGGGUGAGUAACACGUGGAUAACCUACCUAUAAGACUGGGAUAACUUCGGGAAACCGGAGCUAAUACCGGAUAAUAUAUUGAACCGCAUGGUUCAAUAGUGAAAGACGGUUUUGCUGUCACUUAUAGAUGGAUCCGCGCCGCAUUAGCUAGUUGGUAAGGUAACGGCUUACCAAGGCAACGAUGCGUAGCCGACCUGAGAGGGUGAUCGGCCACUCUGGAACUGACACGCGGUCCAGACUCCUGCGGGAGGCAGCAGUAGAGAAUCGUCCGCAAGGGGCGAAAGCCUGACGGAGCAACGCCGCGUGAGUGAUGAAGGUCUUCGGAUCGUAAAACUCUGUUAUUAGGGAAGAACAAAUGUGUAAGUAACUAUGCACGUCUUGGCGAUACCUAAUCAGAGAGCCACGUCUAUCUACG
rnacentral:rRNA from 1 species